CUUCACCGAGCCGAGCCACAGUGGCCGCUCGCGGCGCGCGCCGUAGGUGGCGAGCAGCGCGUGUGCCUC
rfam:Saccharomonospora xinjiangensis XJ-54 genomic scaffold Sacxiscaffold_2, whole genome shotgun sequence.